rnacentral:lncRNA from 1 species
AACUUCAUCAACAACAUAUGUGUGGAUACCAUGGCCUUGAGAUCAUUGAUGCAUAUGCGCCCAAAGAUGACAUUGUAUGCCGUCGGGCAAUUGACCACCAGGAAGUUAGUGGUAAUAGUAGCUGUGUAGGGGCAUGUACCAAUGGUGACGGGUAAGUGUAUACUCCCUAAAGGUUGCACGAUAUCGCCAGAGAAGCUUAUCAGAGGAGAAAUCGAGCUAUCGAGCAAGUGUUCAGCUACAUUAAGUGCCUUGAAAGCUUCGGCAAACAUGAUAUUGAUUGAAGCACCUGUGUCUAUCAGGAUUCGUUUCACAUCAAAAUUUGCUAUGUGAGCCUCCACGAUCAGCG